rnacentral:piRNA from 1 species
UUAUGGAACUGGAAGUGCUUC